UACGGAGAGUUUGAUCCUGGCUCAGGACGAACGCUGGCGGCGUGCUUAACACAUGCAAGUCGAACGGAAAGGCCCUGCUUUUGUGGGGUGCUCGAGUGGCGAACGGGUGAGUAACACGUGGGUGAUCUGCCCCUAACUUCGGGAUAAGCUUGGGAAACUGGGUCUAAUACCGGAUAGGACAAUCGUUUAGUGUCGGUUGUGGAAAGUUUUUUCGGUUAGGGAUGAGCCCGCGGCCUAUCAGCUUGUUGGUGGGGUAAUGGCCUACCAAGGCGUCGACGGGUAGCCGGCCUGAGAGGGUGGACGGCCACAUUGGGACUGAGAUACGGUCCAGACUCCUACGGGAGGCAGCAGUGGGGAAUAUUGCACAAUGGGCGGAAGCCUGAUGCAGCAACGCCGCGUGCGGGAUGACGGCCUUCGGGUUGUAAACCGCUUUCGCCUGUGACGAAGCGUGAGUGACGGUAAUGGGUAAAGAAGCACCGGCUAACUACGUGCCAGCAGCCGCGG
rnacentral:rRNA from 1 species